rnacentral:rRNA from 1 species
GAGUUUGAUCAUGGCUCAGAUUGAACGCUGGCGGCAUGCCUUACACAUGCAAGUCGAACGGCAGCAUGAUCUAGCUUGCUAGAUUGAUGGCGAGUGGCGAACGGGUGAGUAAUACAUCGGAACGUGCCCUGUAGUGGGGGAUAACUAGUCGAAAGAUUAGCUAAUAUCGCAUACGACCUGAGGGUGAAAGUGGGGACCGCAAGGCCUCAUGCUAUAGGAGCGGCCGAUGUCUGAUUAGCUAGUUGGUGGGGUAAAGGCCCACCAAGGCGACGAUCAGUAGCUGGUCUGAGAGGACGAUCAGCCACACUGGGACUGAGACACGGCCCAGACUCCUACGGGAGGCAGCAGUGGGGAAUUUUGGACAAUGGGCGAAAGCCUGAUCCAGCAAUGCCGCGUGUGUGAAGAAGG